rnacentral:lncRNA from 1 species
UCAAAUCUAAAAAUUCUCUUUUAAUAAUCUUAAUUCAGUCCAACCAUCCAUCCACUUAAUGGUUGUCUCGAGUCCGAUGCAGGACUCUUCGUUCUUCCAACCGAGAUUGGCUACAUGGGCAUCAAGAAGGCUAGGCUUAAUGAAUCGCUUGUUUACGAGGACUAGUUAGAGGCAUGAUUAAAUAGAUGAUAAGUAUAAUGAUACUCCUUCC